rnacentral:miRNA from 1 species
CUUCCGCCCGGCCGGGUGUCG